GCAGCAACCAAGUUUACAUAUGAAACAGCCGGCCCUACGUAUUUAGAAGUGCUUGGUGUACUGAAAAGUAGAAUAACUCUGUAAUAAAUAGCUUUGCAAAAUUUGGAAAUAUUGUGUUCAGAAAUGUUGUUAGGGGCUGGGGAUAUGGCCUAGUGGCAAGAGUGCUUGCCUCGUAUACAUGAGGC